rnacentral:rRNA from 1 species
GACGAACGCUGGCGGCGUGCUUAACACAUGCAAGUCGAACGGAAAGGCCCUGCUUUUGUGGGGUGCUCGAGUGGCGAACGGGUGAGUAACACGUGAGUAACCUGCCCUUGACUUUGGGAUAACUUCAGGAAACUGGGGCUAAUACCGGAUAGGAGCUCCUGCUGCAUGGUGGGGGUUGGAAAGUUUCGGCGGUUGGGGAUGGACUCGCGGCUUAUCAGCUUGUUGGUGGGGUAGUGGCUUACCAAGGCUUUGACGGGUAGCCGGCCUGCGAGGGUGACCGGCCACAUUGGGACUGAGAUACGGCCCAGACUCCUACGGGAGGCAGCAGUGGGGAAUAUUGCGCAAUGGGCAGAAGCCUGAUGCAGCAACGCCGCGUGCGGGAUGACGGCCUUCGGGUUGUAAACCGCUUUCGCCUGUGACGAAGCGUGAGUGACGGUAAUGGGUAAAGAAGCACCGGCUAACUACGUG